rnacentral:rRNA from 1 species
CGGGGGAGCAAGCGUUGUUCGGAUUUACUGGGCGUAAAGGGCGCGUAGGCGGCGUAACAAGUCACUUGUGAAAUCUCCGGGCUUAACCCGGAGCGGCCAAGUGAUACUGUUGUGCUAGAGUGCGGAAGGGGCUACUGGAAUUCUCGGUGUAGCGGUGAAAUGCGUAGAUAUCGAGAGGAACACCUGCGGCGAAGGCGGGUAGCUGGGCCGACACUGACGCUGAGGCGCGAAAGCCAGGGGGAGCGAACGGGAUUAGAUACCCCGGUAGUCCUGGCCUUAAACGAUGGAUACUUGGCGUCCGGGGUUACAUAGUCCCCGGGUGCCGGCGCUAACGCAUUAAGUAUCCCGCCUGGGGAGUACGGUCGCAAGACUG